UACAGAGGUCUCAAGCGUUGUUCGGAUUCAUUGGGCGUAAAGGGUGCGUAGGCGGCGCGGUAAGUCGGGUGUGAAAUCUCGGAGCCUAACUCCGAAACUGCAUUUGAUACUGCGGUGCUUGAGGACUGGAGAGGAGACUGGAAUUUACGGUGUAGCAGUGAAAUGCGUAGAGAUCGUAAGGAAGACCAGUGGCGAAGGCGGGUCUCUGGACAGUUCCUGACACUGAGGCACGAAGGCCAGGGGAGCAAACGGG
rnacentral:rRNA from 1 species